ACGGCUCAGUAACACGUGGCUAAUCUGCCCUUAGGACAGGAACAACCCCGGGAAACUGGGGCUAAUUCUUGAUAUGUGAGGAACUCUGGAAUGAGUCUUCGCUUAAAAGACUUCACGUUAUGCUCGUGAUGUUGCCUAAGGAUGAGGCCGCGACCGAUCAGGUUGUUGGUGAGGUAAUGGCUCACCAAGCCUUUUACCGGUGGCGGGCCGUGAGAGCGGGAGCCCGGAGAUGGGUACUGAGACAAGGACCCAGGCCCUACGGGGCGCAGCAGUCGCGAAAACUUUGCAAUACACGAAAGUGUGACAGGGCUAUCCCGAGUGCCUUCCGCUGAGGGAGGCUUUUACCUAGUAUAGACCGCUAGGGGAAUAAGGAGAGGGCAAGUCUGGUGUCAGCCGCCGCGGUAAUACCAGCUCUCCGAGUGGUGUGGAUGUUUAUUGGGCCUAAAGCAUCCGUAGCUGGCUAAGUUAGUCCCUUGUUAAAACCACCGAAUUAAUCGUUGGAAUGCGGGGGAUACUGCUUGGCUAGGGGACGAGAGAGGCAGACGGUAUUUUCGGGGUAGGGGUGAAAUCCUAUAAUCCCGGGAAGACCACCAGUGGCGAAGGCUGUCUGCUAGAACGCGCCCGACGGUGAGGGAUGAAAGCUG
rnacentral:rRNA from 1 species